GAGACCACUUUUUACACAACCAGGUAUCUCAUGAACAUUCAACCUAUCUCGCUCUGUAGGGUGACAUUCAUCUUGAGUGGUUCAAGAUCACAGCUACCCAAAUUAGUGCAAGAUCAAUUAAAGAAAUGUUUAUUCACCAAUCUAAUAAUCACCAUGCUCACGUACUAGACAUAAAAAUCAACAUCCACUACUCAUCUUUGACCAUCUCCUCAAGAUCCCAAUAACCAGACUAAAUCCCACGCAUCUUUGACUAUCUCCUCAAGAUCCCAAUAACCAGACUAAAUCCAGGAAAUAUAUCAUAUUCCACCAAGAAAUUUGAUUCAAAAUCAUAAUCACCAAACUAAAUCCAAAUGGUUCCACUUAAUUAAAGAUUUGUUUAUCCACCAAUAUAACAAUCACUAUGCUCACUAAUUAGACCUAAAAUCUCAUAAUCCACCGAACAUCUUCAAGUAUCUUUUCAAGAACACAAUCACCUAACUAGAUCCACCUAAAAUCUCAUAAUCCAUCGUGAAAUUUGGUUCAAAAUCAUAUUCACAUAACUAACAAAUCAAUGUAAGAUUAUUUAAAUACAUGUUUAUCCACCAAACUAAUAAUCACCACGGUCACCGACUAUACCUAGAAACUCAUAAUGCACCAAAAAAAUUGUUUGUCUCCUCAAGAUCACAAUCACCAAAGUAUAUUCAACCACAAUUGCCUAACUAAGAAAUUUUUGUAAGAUUAAUCAAAUAUAUGUUUAUCCACCAAUCUAAUAAUCACCACGGUCACCUACUAGACCUAAAAUCUCAUAUCCACCGAAAAUCUUUGACUAUCUCCUCAAGAUAACAAUCAUCAAAGUAUAUUCAACCAAAAUCUCAAAAUUCACCAUGAAAUUCGAUUCAAGAUCACAAUCACCUAACUAAAUAGAAAUUGUUCCAAGAUUAAUUAAAAAUGUGUUUAUCCACCAACAUAAUAAUCACAUGCUCACUUACUAAACAUAAAAUCUCAUAAUAUCCUUGACUAUCUCCUCAAUAUCACAAUCACCAAACUAAAACCACAUAAAAAUCUUUCUUAGGUGUUGCUAAUGAUUUUCCUCCGAGGGGGAAUAGACAACAAGAAACUUGUCGAAGAACUCACAAACAUGUUAUUCAUGAUGUUCAUCAAAUAGCUAGGUGGGCAAGGAUUAGGUCAACGGCCACAUCCAUCACAUACAACUCUGUCGUCGCGAUUCGACCAAGUCAUGGAUUGGUGAGACUUAAGGUGCAUAGGGUUUGCGUGUGAGGGUAAAAGUUCACCCUAACGCACUUAAACACCAUUUCUCUGAGACCAACUAUUAAGAGGCCCACAUGGCACAACUCAGACAAGGUUAUCACAUACCAUCAAAAUCGCCAUCUCUUUGAAUUAAUCCAAAUCAUCCUCCUAUGGUAUUUGUACUGAUAACAUUCUUUGGGGGGAACAACAAAAUCACCUAGGUCUAACAACUCCGAUCCACAUGUANNNNNNNNNNNNNNNNNNNNNNNNNNNNNNNNNNNNNNNNNNNNNNNNNNNNNNNNNNNNNNNNNNNNNNNNNNNNNNNNNNNNNNNNNNNNNNNNNNNNGGUUACGCACACAGUUGGCAUAUUUUAAUUAAGUUAACUUCAAGUUAUAUAGAACCGGUGUUAAACAAAGUUUCCACGUUGCCACAUAACCGCGGGCACGGCUUUCCGAAAAUAUUUCACCCUGCAGGGGUGCUCCAACUAGUCCAUCACAAAUUACCACAAGCCGCAUAGAAAUCCUCAAUCACGAAGCUCGCGAUCUCGUCAGAUUCCCUAGUGGAAAACCUCAACUCUGAGAUUACCCAAAGCAUCACCGGAAUCCCGAUGAACAAGAUAUCUCGUCAAAGGUAAAACUAAUCCAGCAAGGCCGCCCGACGUGUCGACGAUCCCGAUAGGAGCCGCGUAUCUCGUUCUCAGGACACGACGGAUGAGCUAGCCGCGUAUCAAGGGGGUCCCCAUAACAACCCUGAUCGUGUUAGGAGCGCUCAAUUAUGGAACAUAACACCGGUAGCCGAAACUAAGGGGGCAAAGGUGGAACAAAACACCAGGCUAGAAAGGCCGAGCCUUCCACCUUUUACCAAGUAUAUAGGUGCAUUAAAUUAAAUAGCAUUUAAUAGGGUGAUAUAACAAGGAACCCGUAUUUUCACAUGGAAGCAACUGCACCUGCAACUAGCAAUGCUAACACAAGGUUAAGCAAGCAGUAACAUAGCCAAUCAGUGGUUUGCUAGGUUGAACAGGUUGAGGGUUUUCAUGGCAUUGUUUGAGAGGCUGAUAUUUAAUAUGUGGAAGGCAACGAGACAUAAACGAAAGAAGCGAUAAACUAGCAUGGCAAUGAUAGUAAUGAUAUCUGGGGAAAUGGUCAUCUUGCCUGAGAUCCCGCUUAGAAGAAGAACAACUCCGAGAAGCACGUGAACCAACGUAGUCGAACGGGUCCUCACAUUCCAACACGCUUGCGGAACUCUAUCAAGAUGGAGCAAACCGGAAACAAGCAUCAACACAGAUAUUCACCACACGAUGCACAAUAUGAUGCACAACCUACUAUGAUGCAUGAACAGAUCAUUGAUGCAAGGCAUGGCAUGGCAAUUCACCUCACACAAACACUACACAUUAAGUGAAGCUCGAUAUGCAACGAGUUGCAUAUCGAUGAAACUCCACGAUUAAUUAUUUAGUUCACUCCCGAUUAUUUACACGACAAUAUUAAAUUGCUGUUAACAUGGCAAGGGGUGAAGCGGUGAUCCUACAUGUCCUCCUAGUCGAUAGCACGCGGGACUUAGAACGGACGCUACGGCACAAGAUACAUGCAACACAAGAUUAUAUGCCAUGAAUGCGACAUGCAUGCAAGAUACAACACCACGGGCAAGAAGAGAAAGAAACAUAUGUUGCCACGGCGAGCGAGAGGGAACCAUGGCAGCAAGACGGAAACGAAGCCACGACAACGUUCCUAUCCCGAUAACUGGUUGAGAUAUCGUGCCAACGUAUAGGAAGCAUGUGCGGGACAACCAAAUAAACAUGGGGUGAUCCCGCUACCGGGUUCCCAUGUGUCGAGGGCGCGACGAAAGAGAGACAACGUGCAACGGGCAAUUAUAGGCGCAAACAUAUGAUACAUCUCAUACAACACAUUUGCAUUCGGUACACGACACGUCUCAUCGGGUUACCUUCGAAGCGUGCAUAUCGGAGGGGGUCGGAUCGUAGCGGACGUCGUGGAAGUCGGACGUAGCGGACAUCUCGUCGACGGUAGUCGUUCGCUCGGCGUCGGUUCACGGGUCUUCGGUGUCGGUUCACGGUCUUCACAUCGGUAGUCGAACACGUUCCGGGGGUCGUUGAGGACGAAGUUGUACACGGCGAUCUUGUCGGUUCCACGACGGAGGGAAUGGCGCACGCGGUCUUCGGCGACAUAACCAGUGACAUCAAGCAGCAACACGACGCAAGCAGCACCAGCAGCAAGCAACGGGGACACAACAUCAACAUGCCACAAUCUAACAACAGCAACUAGCAACAACAAGCAUCUAUUAGUAAGCAAUAGCAAACAACUAAUUAGCAGCAACAAGCAAGCUAGCUAGCAGGGCAUCUAACAGCCACCUAGCAGCAACUACAGCUCUCGGCAACAGGCAACAGCAAGCAACGACAUAGCAACAUCAUGCAGCCUGGCAGCAACUAGCGUCGGCUAGCAUUAGCAGCAAAGCAGCUAGCAAAGCAUCAGGCAGCUAGCACGCAAGCAGUUAUAACCAGAGCAACAUCAAGGCACAGGCAAAGCGACAGGAGAAACUAGCAACCGGCAGCAGGAACAUCAACCGGCCAGCAUCAAACUACACAGGCACGUACAACAACUACCUAGCGGUGGCAGGGGAGAGCACAUGGCAGAGGAGGUCGGGGCGAGGGAGGCAGGCAUAGCUUCGGCAACACAGCAAGCCGGCGACGUGGGGAGGCGGAGCCCCGAGGAGAACGGCGGCAGCGGGGGCGCGCACCGGCGGCCGCGGGGCACGGGCGACAGGGAGAUGGAGGUGCCACGACGGGGCUGGCGGCGAGGUGGCGGAGAACAGUAGCGCGGCGGCCGCGGGACAGAGCAGCCGGCGAUGGCUCGCGAGCAGGGAGGUGGCGCAGCGCAGGGGGAUGCGAGAGGACAGGGGCAUGGCGAGGGCGAGGGGCGAGGGGACUCCGGCGGCGAGGGGGAUCUCCGGCGGCGAGGAAGAGGCACAGGGCAGCUCGGGACCUAGAGGGAGAAGGGGAUCGGCCGAGGGAGAAGGCUGUACGAGGGGAAUGCUCUGCGGGAGGAAGAGGAAUCGGGGGGGGGAAGAAACGAGAGGGAGAUGGGNNNNNNNNNNNNNNNNNNNNNNNNNNNNNNNNNNNNNNNNNNNNNNNNNNNNNNNNNNNNNNNNNNNNNNNNNNNNNNNNNNNNNNNNNNNNNNNNNNNNACAACUUCAACGCCCACUCAUUCUAGUUUCACCGUCUAGUACUUCUUCGUCAACCUCUUCAAAUGAGCCCCUAACCACAAAGAAGAUUACACGAGUUUAGUGUCCAAUGGCUGCUUCUUUUGGUUCUCCAUCGAUGGGUUUUGCUACCGAUUCCUUUGGUAACAAAAGACCACUUUUUACACAACCAGGUAUCUCAUGAACAUUCAACCUAUCUCGCUCUGUAGGGUGACAUUCAUCUUGAGUGGUUCAAGAUCACAGCUACCCAAAUUAGUGCAAGAUCAAUUAAAGAAAUGUUUAUUCACCAAUCUAAUAAUCACCAUGCUCAUGUACUAGACAUAAAAAUCAACAUCCACUACUCAUCUUUGACUAUCUCCUCAAGAGCCCAAUAACCAGACUAAAUCCACGUAAAAUAUCAUAACUCAGCUUUGACUAUCUCCUCAAGAUCCCAAUAACCAGACUAAAUCCACAUAAAAUAUCAUAAUCCACCGAGAAAUUUGAUUCAAAAUCAUAAUCACCAAACUAAAUCCAAAUUGUUCCACUUAAUUAAAGAUUUGUUUAUCCACCAAUGUAAUAAUCAUGAUGCUCACCUAUUAGACCUAAAAUCUUAUAAUCCACCGAACAUCAUUGACAAUCUUCUCAACAUCACAAUCACCUAGCUAAAUCCAUCUAAAAUCUCAUAAUCCACUAUGAAAUUUUGUUAAAAGAUCACAAUCACCUAGCUAAAUCCAAAUUGUUUAAAAUUGAUCGAAGAUUUGUUUAUCCACCAAUAUAAUAAUCACUAUGCUCACUAAUUAGACCUAAAAUCUCAUAAUCCACCGAACAUCUUCAAGUAUCUUUUCAAGAAGACAAUCACCUAACUAGAUCCACCUAAAAUCUCACAAUCCAUCGUGAAAUUUGGUUCAAAAUCAUAUUCACAUAACUAACAAAUCAAUGUAAGAUUAAUUAAAUAUAUGUUUAUCCACCAAACUAAUAAUCACCACGGUCACCGACUAUACCUAAAAACUCAUAAUGCACCAAAAACAUUGACUGUUUCCUCAAGAUCACAAUCACCAAAGUAUAUUCAACCACAGUUGCCUAACUAAGAAACUGUUGUGAGAUUAAUCAAAUAUAUGUUUAUCCACCAAUCUAAUAAUCACCACGGUCACCUACUAGACCUAAAAUCUCAUAUCCACCGAAAAAAUCUUUGACUAUCUCAAGAUCACAAUCAUCAAAGUAUAUUCAACCAAAAUCUCAAAAUUCACCAUGAAAUUCGAUUCAAGAUCACAAUCACCUAACUAAAUAGAAAUUGUUCCAAGAUUAAUUAAAAAUGUGUUUAUCCACCAACAUAAUAAUCACAUGCUCACUUACUAAACAUAAAAUCUCAUAACAUCCUUGACUAUCUCCUCAAUAUCACAAUCACCAAACUAAAACCACAUAAAAAUCUUUCUUAGGUGUUGCUAAUGAUUUUCCUCCGAGGGGGAAUAGACAAAGAGGUCAUCAAUGAUGACGAGAAACUUGUCGAAGAACUCACAAACAUGUUAUUCAUGAUGUUCAUCAAAUAGCUAGGCGGGCAAGGAUUAGGUCAACGGCCACAUCCUUCACAUACAACUCUGUCGUCGCGAUUCGACCAAGUCAUGGAUUGGUGAGACUUAAGGUGCAUAGGG
rnacentral:lncRNA from 1 species